GCCUCUUCUUCACUGUUCACCCUAAAGCAUUCAUUGCUCUUCGACACCGUUCUUUGUGGUUCAUUACACUGGCCUGAGUCCUCAUCGUCCGCCUAAGUCGCAUCUUUCGCCUGACUCUUCAUUCGUUGUCCGCCAUUGUUGCUUGAGCUUCGUUCGUCACAAUCUCGUCAUUCAGAGAGAGCAAGUCGGACGAUAGACGGUUUUAUAUAUUCACAGCAACAAAAACUCUCCAUCUGAGAGCUGAUUCAAGGAAGGACCGUGUCGUGUGGAUUCCAGCUUUGGUUUCAACCCGAGAAUUAUAUCCAAUCAACGAAGAAUGGUUUUUCAAGUUUAGUACAUGGAAAAUAUAGCGGUUCAAAUUGGCAUGAAGUUAUCAUUCAAAAGUCCAAUUCUUUGCUGCUCUUGGAUUUUUGUUGUAGGGUGGAAGGUUGUUUUUCUUGAGGCGUUUCCCCAUUGAAUCUAGAGGCCGUCAAAAGAAACUUUACGAGGUUUGAAUCAGGUGAUUUUGGACUUGCCAAAAUGUUGACUUCCGAUGAUCUAACAUCCUCUGU